UACGGAGGAUGCAAGCGUUAUCCGGAAUGAUUGGGCGUAAAGAGUCCGUAGGUGGUUAUUCAAGUCGAUUGUUAAAGAGCGGGGCUCAACCCCGUAGAAGCAGUGGAAACUGAAUAACUAGAGAGAGGUAGGGGUAGAGGGAAUUCCCGGUGUAGCGGUGAAAUGCGUAGAGAUCGGGAAGAACACCAGUGGCGAAAGCGCUCUACUGGGCCUCAUCUGACACUGAGGGACGAAAGCUAGGGGAGCGAAAGGG
rnacentral:rRNA from 1 species